CCGGUAACUACGUAGCCAGCAGCCGCGGAAUACGUAGGUGGCGAAGCGUUAUCCGGAAUUAUUGGGCGUAAGACGCGCGUAGGCGGUAAAAGUAAGUACUGAUGUGAAAGCCCCGGACCGUCAACCGGGGAGGGUCGAUUGGAAACUGUUUUACUUGAGUACAGAAGAGGAGAGUGGAAUUCCAUGUGUAGCGGUGAAAUGCGCAGAGAUAUGGAGGAACACCAGUGGCGUCGACGCGGCCGCGGCCGCGUUGGAUUAGGUAGUUGGUGGGGUAAUGGCCUACCAAGCCGACGAUCCAUAGCUGGUUUGAGAGGAUGAUCAGCCACACUGGGACUGAGACACGGCCCAGACUCCUACGGGAGGCAGCAGUGGGGAAUAUUGGUCAAUGGGCGAGAGCCUGAACCAGCCAAGUAGCGUGAAGGAUGAAGGUUCUAUGGAUUGUAAACUUCUUUUAUAAGGGAAUAACGGACACUACGUCGUAGUGUUUUGCAUGUACCCUUAUGAAUAAGCAUCGGCUAACUCCGUGCCAGCAGCCGUCGACGCGGCCG
rnacentral:rRNA from 1 species